rnacentral:rRNA from 1 species
GUUGUCUACGGGGCGCAGCAGUAGGGAAUUUUCGGCAAUGGGCGAAAGCCUGACCGAGCAACGCCGCGUGAACGAAGAAGGUCUUCGGAUUGUAAAGUUCUGUUAUAGAGGAAGAAUGGUGUACGUAGGAAAUGGCGUACAAAUGACGGUACUCUGUGAGGAAGCCACGGCUAACUACGUGCCAGCAGCCGCGGUAAUACGUAGGUGGCGAGCGUUAUCCGGAAUCAUUGGGCGUAAAGAGGGAGCAGGCCGCCUGGCGGGUCUAUUGUUACAA